CCUACGGGAGGCAGCAGUGAGGAAUAUUGGUCAAUGGGCGAGAGACUGAACCAGCCAAGCCGCGUGAGGGAUGAAGGUCCAGAGUAUCGUAAACUUCUUUUGUCAGGGAACAAAGUCGUGGACGUGUCCCCGGAUGAAUGUACCUUAAGAAAAAGCAUCGGCUAACUCCGUGCCAGCAGCCGCGGUAAUACGGAGGAUGCGAGCGUUAUCCGGAUUUAUUGGGUUGAAAGGGUGCGCAGGCGGUAUGUUAAGUCAGCUGUGAAAGCCCGGGGCUCAACCCGGGAACUGCCGUUGAAACUGGCAGUCUCGAGUUGGAGAGAGGUAUGCGGAAUGCGCGGUGUAGCGGUGAAAUGCAUAGAUAUCGCGAAGAACUUCGAUUGCGAAGGCAGCAAGCCGGCUCCACACUGACGCUGAGGCACGAAAGCGUGGGUAUCGAACAGGAUUAGAUACCCCUGUAGUC
rnacentral:rRNA from 1 species